GCCGGCCUAGCUCAGUUGGUAGAGCAGCUGUUUCGUAAACAGCAGGUCUCCGGUUCGAGUCCGGAGGUCGGCU
rnacentral:tRNA from 2 species